AAUGAGGUCUGAUAAUAGUGGGUGCAGGUGAAUUAUGGGAGUUGUAGUGAGGGCUGAUAAUAGUGGGUGCAGGUGAAUUAUGGGAGUUGUAGUGAGGGCUGAUAAUAGUGGGUGCAGGGGAAUUAUGGGAGUUGUAGUGAGGGUCUAAUAAUAGUGGGUGCAGGUGAAUUAUGGGAGUUGUAGUGAGGGUCUGAUAAUAACAGGUGCAGGUGAAUUAUGGGAGUUGUAGUUAGGGUCUGAUAAUAGUGGGUGCAGGUGAAUUAUGGGAGUUGUAGUGAGGGCUGAUAAUAGUGGGUGCAUUUGAAUUAUGGGAGUCGUAGUGAGGGCUGAUAAUAGUGGGUGCAGGUGAAUUAUGGGAGUCGUAGUGAGGGCUGAUAAUAGUGGGUGCAGGUGAAUUAUGGGAGUUGUAGUGAGGGCUGAUAAUAGUGGGUGCAGGUGAAUUAUGGGAGUCGUAGUGAGGGCUGAUAAUAGUGGGUGCAGGUGAAUUAUGGGAGUUGUAGUGAGGGCUGAUAAUAGUGGGUGCAGGUGAAUUAUGGGAGUUGUAGUGAGGGCUGAUAAUAGUGGGUGCAGGUGAAUUAUGGGAGUUGUAGUGAGGGCUGAUAAUAGUGGGUGCAGGUGAAUUAUGGGAGUCGUAGUGAGGGCUGAUAAUAGUGGGAGCAGGUGAAUUAUGGGAGUUGUAGUGAGGGCUGAUAAUAGUGGGAGCAGGUGAAUUAUGGGAGUUGUAGUGAGGGCUGAUAAUAGUGGGAGCAGGUGAAUUAUGGGAGUUGUAGUGAGGGCUGAUAAUAGUGGGUGCAGAGGAAUUAUGGGAGUUGUAGUGAGGGCUGAUAAUAGUGGGUGCAGGUGAAUUAUGGGAGUCGUAGUGAGGGCUGAUAAUA